rnacentral:rRNA from 1 species
AACGAACGCUGGCGGCAGGCCUAACACAUGCAAGUCGAGCGGACCCUUCGGGGUUAGCGGCGGACGGGUGAGUAACGCGUGGGAAUAUGCCCUUCUUUACGGAAUAGUCCUGGGAAACUGGGGGUAAUACCGUAUACGCCCUUUGGGGGAAAGAUUUAUCGGGGAAGGAUUAGCCCGCGUUGGAUUAGGUAGUUGGUGGGGUAAUGGCCUACCAAGCCGACGAUCCAUAGCUGGUUUGAGAGGAUGAUCAGCCACACUGGGACUGAGACACGGCCCAGACUCCUACGGGAGGCAGCAGUGGGGAAUCUUAGACAAUGGGGGCAACCCUGAUCUAGCCAUGCCGCGUGAGUGAUGAAGGCCUUAGGGUUGUAAAGCUCUUUCAGCUGGGAAGAUAAUGACGGUACCAGCAGAAGAAGCCCCGGCUAACUCCGUG